UCGAAAUCGGUAGACGCUACGGACUUAAAAUGGCGUUGGCUUUAAUAGACCUUGAGGGUUC
rnacentral:tRNA from 1 species